rnacentral:lncRNA from 1 species
UCUCAACUGGGAGUUCUGUUUGUUUCACCUAUUUUUUGUUUUUUUCUGUUUCCUCUCUCUUUACUGCUACGACUACUCAUCAACAAUACCACUCUACGUUCAUCAAUUCAAGGUGGAAACUUUCAAGUCUCCCCCCUCUUCUUACUUGUUUCUCUGUCUUUAGGGAUAUUUCAACANUCCAUUGAAAACUGCACAAGGAGAAAGAUGGAAUAUGACCAGUAAAAGGUAUUAUUCGGCUCCAUGCAUUACUUUUUUAUUACAUAUAAGUCAAAUGUGGUAAUAAAACAGUAAAAAAAACUAUCUUCUUUCCUCUUCUAUCUCAACUGGGAGUUCUGUUUGUUUCACCUAUUUUUGUUUUUUUCUGUUUCCUCUCUUUACUGCUACGACUACUCAUCAACAAUACCACUCUACGUUCAUCAAUUCAAGGUGGAAACUUUCAAGUCACCCCUCUCUUCUUACUUGUUUCUCUGUCUUUAGGGAUAUUUCAAUAAGAUUUGGAAUUCAGUUGAAUUUGAGUGAGAAUCGAUUCGAUUUUGCUGAUUGUCUGACCACUUCUUUAUCAAAUCCAGAAUAUAGUCAAUUCCAAACGAAGAAAGGCCCAUCAUCCCUUUCUUUCUUUUUCUGUUAUAUUUUUAGUUAUUUCUUGAUGGAAUUUUCUGGGUCCUCUAUAUAUACCAGGUACUGUAAUUUUGACUCUGUUUAUUUCUUUAGCUUAAAUUCGACAAGAUUGAUGGGUUAUUAGGGUUUCAGCUAGCAAAAAUUCAAGGGAUGUCAUUCUUUUUCCUUUUUCCUUUUUGAUAUUAAGUUUGGUUAAUUAGCUGAUGCAGAAGUUCUACACUUGAACAACUUUAAGCAAAAUUUGGUUUUCUCCAGCUUUCGCAAUGAAAGUGAAUUGCUUUGCUUUAAUUUAUUUAUUUUAACUAGCCCUUGAUUUUCUGUUUGGUAUUAUUAUCGCUAAUUGGGAAUGGAAGACGUACAAUUUUCAUAUAGAAGCAAGCAUGGGAGUGCGCAGUUUCACGUCUGUCUUGUGAUAUUGAUGUCACCUUUCCUUUUUUGUUCAGUCACUUAAUGUUCUUACCUUGACUGCAUUUGUAUCUAACUUUUGAAUUUUAUUUAUUUUUUUCCAUGCAGAAAGUACUUGAGAAUUUGACCAGCUAUAUAUCUUCUGAUUAUUAAAGGCACAGGUAAACAUAUUUAUCUCUAUUCAACAUUUUACACUCUGACCUCGUGAGUUGCCAACUGUUUUGUUGGUUGUCUUCAUUUAAUGAGUUUGGACUUUAUCACUUGGCUUGUGCUUGUUUUUCAAAUUUCCUUGUGAUGUUUGCCUUGUUCGUGUAUGCUUCCUUAAUGUUACUGUACAAGAUAUCGUAUCUGAAAGAGUAUUUGUGUAUAUGUGUACAUUGAGAGUACCCUUGCCCUUCUAUUUUCUUUAUUCUGGGUUUCUAUUUCGCAUGUCCAAUUUUUGAUUGUUUACUGAUUGGGCUUGCAAAUAAAGGAAAUUCAAGGAUAUGGGAUGCUUUGUAUCAACGCCGAAGGACACAGGUGGAAACAGAAAGAGACCAUCAAACAUUGGUGAGGUCUCUGUAUUUGUGCCAGGUUUAAGGAUUCCUAAGACCGUGGAUUUCUCCCAGGCAUUAGGCGAUCAUUUGUCUAAAAGUUUAGUGGAACGUCUUUCUGCACUUAGAACCAGAAUUGUAGUUAUGGCUGCACAAGAAGCUCCGACUAUUACAAGAACAAGACGGAGAACGGCUACUCAACAUGGUUAUUUGUAGAACCCUUACAUUUUUUGUUUUCUGAUAUUGCAUCUUGAUGUUUGACCAGAUAUUUCCUGCAGGUGGUUCAACUCUGGGAGAUCUUCUUCAGGCUCUCGAAGAUUAUUUGCCUGUUCUUUUGGGUUUGGUUAAAGAUGGUAAACAUGUUAGGCGUCAAUCUAGUUACCAGAUAUGCUGGGAAGAUAUUGUUCCUAAGCGUUAAUUCUUUUCAUUGUAUAGGGAGCCCAUUGCAACACAAAGUACAGUUUGUU